rnacentral:tRNA from 1 species
GGUGUUAUGGCUCGGUGGUACAGUGCUUGCCUAGCAUGUAGGAGGCACUGGGUUCCAUCCUCAGCACCA